AGACACUAUACGUAUAUUGUUUUUAUACUGAAAUCGAUAAAAACAAAACAAAAAACAAAAAAAAAAACUAUGUAACAAAUAUUGUUAAAAAAAGUGUUUGGAAUUUCCCUCUUGGGGUACCAUUUUGGGGUAUUUCCCUAUGACCGUAGUCCAGGCGGUAAGACAUUGACAUUUUAAUGAAUUAAACAGGGAAAAUGAACUUAAUUAAUAACAUUUAAUAAACAUAGUAUAUAAAUUAUCAAUUUGAAGACAUAACAAGUUUAAAUUCAUAAAAGUUUGACCA
rnacentral:lncRNA from 1 species